AUUGAACGCUGGCGGCAAGCCUAACACAUGCAAGUCGAACGAGUGGCGGACGGGUGAGUAAUGUCUGGGAAACUGCCCGAUGGAGGGGGAUAACUACUGGAAACGGUAGCUAAUACCGCAUACCAUCGGAUGUGCCCAGAUGGGAUUAGCUGGUGGGGGGGGGAAAGGCUCACCUAGGCGCCAAGCCCUAGCUGGUCUGAGAGGAUGACCAGCCACACUGGAACUGAGACACGGUCCAGACUCCUACGGGAGGCAGCAGUGGGGAAUAUUGCACAAUGGGGGCAAGCCUGAUGCAGCCAUGCCGCGUGUAUGAAGAAGGCCUUCGGGUUGUAAAGUACUUUCAGCGGGGAGGCGUUACCCGCAGAAGAAGCACCGGCUAACUCCGUGCCAGCAGCCGCGGUAAUAC
rnacentral:rRNA from 1 species